rnacentral:rRNA from 1 species
CCUACGGGAGGCUGCAGUGGGGAAUAUUGCACAAUGGGGGAAACCCUGAUGCAGCGACGCCGCGUGAGUGAAGAAGUAAUUCGUUAUGUAAAGCUCUAUCAGCAGGGAAGAAAAGGACGGUACCUGAGUAAGAAGCCCCGGCUAACUACGUGCCAGCAGCCGCGGUAAUACGUAGGGGGCAAGCGUGAUCCGGAUUUACUGGGUGUAAAGGGAGCGUAGCCGGUAGUGCAAGUCUGGAGUGAAAGGCGGGGGCGCAACCCCCGGACUGCUCUUGAAACUGUACGGCUGGAGUGCAGGAGAGGUAAGUGGCAUUCCUCUUGUAGCGGUGCCAUGCGUCGUUCUUAGGAG